CAAUCUUUUGCCAAUCCAACCCUCUGGCAAGUGGCAAAAAACAUAAUAAAUCAACAAGCUAUCGAUGGAACAAGAAAACACAAUAGACCAUUGAAAAAACACCUAUAGAAUCAAACUUGUAGACAUUGUAGACCAUGGCACCCCUUGUCCUGAAAAGUUUAAGGGUACCCCGUGAUCACCUGUUCCCGCUCCAUCGCUGUCUAGUCACUUACCCCAUAUUCCGUUGAUUUAACCUUUCAUCACUCAAUUUAUAGAGCAAGUAUUUUCAAUGAUAAUUCAUAAUACAAAUUUUUAUUAAAUUGGAAAAAAGAUUUACAUCAUUAGUAACGUUAAGAUAAACAAACAAUAUUUAAAAUUAGAAUUAAAAAAGAUUAAUUGGAACUGGGUCUAAUAACUUUCCGACAAUUAUAAAAAAAAUUAUUAGAAAAAAAACAAUAUUAAAAAUUUUGGAAUUUCCCCUCUUUUCAGAUGGUUUGCGUCGCUUCGUCAGUUUCGGAUGAAUGUUAAUGGACUGCCCGUGUAGAAUGCGGCAUUGGUGGCGGCCUUUGCGGUCAAUAAGGUCCCUUCGAGUUCUCGUCUGUCCGUCCGUCUAGUCUUUGUUUCUUUUCUGGGGUUUUCUGUUGUGCUGCUUUUUCAGCACAGUAGGGUCAACAUCGGCUGAAAGGGGCAAGGAAAUAUCCUUUAAUUUCUUACUACCUAACCUAACGAGGAGCUCAUGUUUAGGUCAAUGUUUGCAUUACAACCAACGGUGAAGGAAUAUUGGCUUUGGUUUUCACCUUUCAAUUAUUUUCAUGGCUUUGAUUUUUCUAAGUCUUUAGUUUUUAAAAUUUUCAAUUAAAUUUUGUAUUAACAUUUCUUUUUUAGCUUUCACUUUUUCUUUAGAUCAUUUCUUUUAAUGAUUUAACUAAUUAAUUUUUUUCUCUU